AGGAUUCGUCCAAUUGAAGCAGAGGACAGUGGCGGACGGGUGAGUAACGCGUGAGCAACCUGCCCAUAAGAGGGGGACAACAGUUGGAAACGACUGCUAAUACCGCAUAAGACCACGCUAUCGCAUGAUAGAGGGGUCAAAGAAAUAUCGCUUAUGGAUGGGCUCGCGUCCCAUUAGGUAGUUGGUGAGGUAACGGCCCACCAAGCCGACGAUGGGUAGCCGACCUGAGAGGGUGAUCGGCCACAUUGGAACUGAGACACGGCCCAAACUCC
rnacentral:rRNA from 1 species